CCUACGGGGGGCAGCAGUGGGGGAUAUUGCACAAUGGGGGGAACCCUGAUGCAGCGACGCCGCGUGGGUGAAGAAGCGCCUCGGCGCGUAAAGCCCUGUCAGCAGGGAAGAAAAUGACGGUACCUGAUGAAGAAGCACCGGCUAACUACGUGCCAGCAGCCGCGGUCAUACGUAGGGGGCAAGCGUUAUCCGGAUUUACUGGGUGUAAAGGGGGCGCAGACGGCGAUGCAAGCCAGGGGUGAAAGCCCGGGGCCCAACCCCGGGACUGCUCGUGGAACUGGGUGGAUGGAGUGCCGGAGGGGCAGGCGGAAUGCCUGGUGUAGGAGUGAAAUGCGUAGAUAUCAGGAGGAACACCGGUGGCGAAGGCGGCCUGCUGGACUGCAACUGACGUUGAGGCCCGAAAGCGUGGGGAGCAAACAGGAUUAGAUACCCCAGUAGUC
rnacentral:rRNA from 1 species